AUUGAACGCUGGCGGCAGGCCUAACACAUGCAAGUCGAACGGUAACAGGAAACAGCUUGCUGUUUCGCUGACGAGUGGCGGACGGGUGAGUAGUGUCUGGGAAACUGCCUGAUGGAGGGGGAUAACUACUGGAAACGGUAGCUAAUACCGCAUAACGUCGCAAGACCAAAGAGGGGGACCCUCGGGCCUCUUGCCAUCGGAUGUGCCCAGAUGGGAUUAGCUUGUUGGUGGGGUAACGGCUCACCAAGGCGACGAUCCCUAGCUGGUCUGAGAGGAUGACCAGCCACACUGGAACUGAGACACGGUCCAGACUCCUACGGGAGGCAGCAGUGGGGAAUAUUGCACAAUGGGCGCAAGCCUGAUGCAGCCAUGCCGCGUGUAUGAAGAAGGCCUUCGGGUUGUAAAGUACUUUCAGCGGGGAGGAAGGGAGUAAAGUUAAUACCUUUGCUCAUUGACGUUACCCGCAGAAGAAGCACCGGCUAACUCCGUG
rnacentral:rRNA from 1 species